UUGCCCUUUGCUGGAUAUUCAUAUAAUAAUGAAUGAGGAGUAAUUUUAAUUUUAAGAACAUUUUUCCCCUAAAUUCCCACCAAGAAACGAAUUUUCCCGAUAUUUCCCAUUUCCCCAUUUCAUCCCACGGUUACUUGGAAUAUCCAAAAAUUUUAGAUUUUCCCUGACGAGUGGACACACUGGGUGCCAGGUAACGCAUCGCCGUCAUAGGAGGUAUUCAAGUUUACAGUCCUUUACCAUUAAGUAGGCCUUGGUGAGUGACUCGAUUUUUAGGAACACAGAAUCGUGCUACAAUAUGUGGGCGUUGUUUUCUUACAUCUGUUGAGUUUUCAGGAAGACCGUCUUACUGCUAGUACUCCUGGCUACACGUUGGAACUUGCUUCAACUGUCAGCGGUGUCCAAUCAUGAGUUCAGCACGAACUUCAGCUGCAAUACCCACGGUCGGCCCACGGUUAUCUUUGUUGCUAAGGUCAAAUUUGAAAACAAGUGGAAGGCCUCCGAAACACAACUAUUGGACUUAUAUAUCGGUUUGGCCUUCUUACUCAAAAUGCCAGUUAGCUGCUGUAACAAAGACCAAACCUCUGCAGGGAAAAUGAGUUGCGUCGUUAUAAAGCGCCUCCCCUUAACAACUAUGAGAACUGAAGUGUAUUUUUUAUCCGCUUGCCGUUGUCCCUUCACUUUAUGGAUUCCACCACUUGAAUGAUAUACGAAGAGGGUUAAAUUUUCCAAGCAACAUGUUCAACUUCAAGCACCAUA
rnacentral:lncRNA from 1 species